ensembl:lincRNA Gm37233 predicted gene, 37233
GGAGGAGCCUGAGGGUGUGAGCUCGGACUUGGAUAAAGACUCUUUGCUUUUGCAUACGAGUUCGACUUCUGGUGGUCUUUGGGGACCCUAGGAUCUGGGCAUAACAUUUGGGGGCUCAUCCGGGAUCCCCUGAGGCCCCCAGGACCCCCGAGCCGUUGAGUCAGAACCCGGUGGGUAAGUGUCUGAAUGUUUGUGCUCUGCCUCGGUGUCUCAGCGCUCCAAACGAGUAGCCCGCAGGCGGUCCAGGCGCACCGGCGCCACCGGACUUGGGAGAAGUCCCGGACCCGCGUGUAGGGGAUUGGAUCCCCUUGUAGACUUGAAGAGACAAAGAGGGUCGCUCCCGAGGCGGUGCUCUCACUUCCGUUCUUGUCUAAGAUCGCUGCAGGAAGGACUGAGUGCCUUUUUGUCUUUCGCCCUUCUGUUUGCUCUCCGUCUGGACUUAUUUCUUUGUGACUGACUUAGUUCUUUGUGACUGACGCCAUGGGACAGACCCAGACCACUCCUUUAUCUUUGUUCUUAGACCAUUUCAAAGACUAUAAAACAAGGGCUAGAAGUCGGGGCUUAGUUGUUAAGAAGAGACUAACUGCUUUCUGCAGGAAGGAAUGGCCAACCUUCAACGUUGGCUGCCCGCCAGAGGGGACUUGGAACUUACUCGCGAUUUUUUAGGACCAAGGAUAUCAUUUUUUAGACGACCCGGACACCCAGACCAAAUGCCCUACAUCAUCACCUGGCUGGAUCUGGUCCAGGACCCGCCAAAAUGGCUCAAGCCUUGGCUGCUGCCAAGGCAACCAAGUGCCGCCGUACUCGCCCCAGAAAACCAUGAGGAACCAAAAACAAACUAACCCUAGGGUCUCUAUCCUGUCUUGCAGGGUAGCACUGAGGAAGACUUCCUCAUCCCAGACCCGCCUUAUGAACCCCCAUUAGAGGGUAGCCCAGGCCUUCAACCUGAGGCCCCAGGAGGGGUUCAUGGGUCUCCCUUGGUGAGCCCUCCUCACACCCAAUGGAAAGUCCAACAAGAGCUGCCUCAACCACCCGCGGCUGAGUCCACGGUUCUCCCCUUGACGGCAGUAGGUCCCCGGGACGAUGAGGGGAACCAACUGAUGGAAUAUUGUCCCUUAGCCAUUAGACAGCUAUAUAAUUGGAAAUGCAAGUACCCUCAGUUCUCAGAGAAACCAGCUGCGUUGAUUAACUUAAUCGAUUCUGUCAUUUUAACCCACCAGCCCACCUGGGAUAACUGUCAAUUGCUCUUGCAGAUCCUCUUCACUACGGAGUGAGUGUGAGCGAGAGAGGAUUUUAAUUGAGGCCAUAAAAUUGGUUCCAGGAGCAAAUGGGAGCCCUACUACUAAACAAGCUCUUAUUAAUGCAGGCUUUUACGGGACCAGACCAGACUGGAAUUUUAACUUAGCAGAAGGUAAGGAGAGUCUCUGAGUCUACCGCUAGACUCUGAUGAGAGGUCUCAGGGCAGCUGCGCAGAGACCCACUCAUUUGGCCAAGGUACAUAGGGUGCAUCAGGAAAUGGCAGAAUCACCCGCAUUCUUUUUAGAAAGGAUUAUGGAGGCCUAUCGCACCUACACGUCCCUAGACCCAGCGGCACCUGAGAUUAAGUCAACGGUCAUUAUGUCCUUAGUAGAUCAGGCCGCCCCUGACAUCAAGCACAAAUUGCAGAGAAUAGACAGGCUAGGGGAGAAGAGUUUACAGGAGUUGCUGGUGGUAGCUGAGAAAGUGGUUGACAACAAAGAAAUACUUACGAAGAAACACUUGCAAGCCUAUGAGGAGCUAGGAAAUCAAACGUUGGCCACAUUCUGUGUGCCUUUGUUGGCAGAUUCCCCGGAAGAGACCACCAAUGGAAAAGGUAAGCAGCCCCAACAAAAGAGGAAGCCAAAGCUCAAAAAGAACCAAUGUGCAUAUUGUAAGAAGAUGGGACAUUGGGUCAAGGACUGCCCCAAGAAACCUCCAAAGAGGGACAAAGGAGGACAGGGUUCAGACCCCCUCCCUGAGCCCAGGGUAACUCUUAAAGUGGAGGGGAAAUCCAUUAGUUUCUUAAGAGACACAGGGGCACAAUAUUCAGUCCAAGCCCAUGGAAAACUGUCCUCAAAGAAAUCGUCGGAACCUGGGGCCACUGGUAUGAAUCAGGAUGCAUGGAGUACCCGAAGAAGAGUGAAUCUCAGAACGGGCCAGGUAUCCCACUCCUUCAUGACCAUACCAGAUUGUCCCAACCCCCUCUUGGGGAGAAAUUUGCCAACCAAGGUAGGAGCUCAGAUUUCUUUUGAUCAAAAAGGGGAUUCUGUCACAGAUUCCAGAGGAUACCCUAGUCACAUACUCCCCCUGCCUCUAGAUGAUGAAUAUAAAUUGGACCAAAGACCAAGCUCUUUCCCGAAUGAGAUCUCAGCUUUGUUAAACAAGUUCCCCUCAGCUUGGGCAGAAACCGAAGGAAUGGGGUUGGCGGACCAUAGGACCCCCAUUCGGGUUGAACUGAAACCAGAGGCAACGCCUGUCCGAAUAAGACAGUACCCAAUCUCCCGUGAAGCCAAAUCAGUUAUCACACCCCCCACAUCAGAAGGUUCAGGACUUGGGCAUACUAGCACCUUGCCAGUCCCCAUGGAACACGCCCCUACACUCCAUCAAGAAGCACAACUCAAAGGACUAUAGACUAGUCCAGAACCUCAAAGAGGUAAACAAAAGAGUUAUGGACAUAUAUUUCACAGUACCAAACACGUAUACCAUCCUGAGUUUGUUAAAACCUUCCCAGACUUGGUAUACAGUAUUGGACCUCAAAGAUGCUGUCUUAAGCCUGCCUUUAGCCCCCUUGAGCCAACCUCUGUUUGCCUUUGAAUGGCACAACCCAGAAGAAGAAUUCAAUGGACAACUAACAUGGACCAGACUGCCACAAGGCUUCAAGAAUUCAACAGUCAUCUUUAACAAGGCUCUACAUGAAGAUCUGGGUGAGUACAGUCGGGAACACCCCAAUACCACCCUCUUGCAAUAUGUAGAUGAUCUCUUAGUGGCAGCAGAGACCAUGGAAGAAUGUCAACGGAGUACUGAGGACCUGCUAAUGGCACUGGGGCAAUUAGGCUACAGGGCAUCAGCUAAGAAGGCUAAAAUCUGCCAACAAGAGGUAACAUACUUGGGAAACAUCCUAAAAGGGGGCCAAUGAUGGCUAUCGGAGGCCCAAAAAGAUACCAUUUUGAAGAUCCCCACACCCACCACAAAACAGAAGGUCAGACAGUUCUUGGGGUCGGCAGGAUUCUGCUGCAUUUGGGUCCCUAAUUUUGCAGAAUUGGCAAAGCCCCUCUAUGAGGCCACCAAAAAAAGGGGGCCCAAUGGACUGAGGCCCAGGAAAGAUCUUUCAAUAGAUUCAAACAGGCCUUAUUGGCAGCCCCCGCAUUAGUACUACCCGACAUCACCAAGCCCUUUCGUCUAUAUAUAGAUGAAAGCAAAGGCAUAGCUAAAGAAGUCCUCACUCACAUGUUAGGAUCCUGGAUUCACCCAGUAGCAUACCUAUCAAAGAAAUUAGACCCUGUGGCUUCUGGAUGGCCUCCGCGUUUGAGAAUUAUCACUGCCACAGCCUUGCUAGUCAAGGAUGCAGACUUCGAGGCAAGAACUUUGUAUUACCACUCCCCAUGCCAUAGAAAGGAUUCUCAAACAACCCCCAGAUCAAUGGGUGAGCAAUGCACGCAUGACUCACUACCAAAGCCUGCUACUAAACCCUGAGUGUAUCCACUUCCUACCAAGCACUGCCCUGAACCCAGCCUCUCUGCUACCAGACCCAGAUUUGGAGACCCCAGUACAUGAUUGUGUGGGCAUACUAAGCCAGGUGCACAGAGUUGGGAAAGACCUAAUAGCCCGGGCCUCUUGCAAGUGCAGAAUGCAGAAGCCACUUGGAUCAUGGACGGUAAAGCUUUGUGCUUGUAUGCAGGGGUGGCAGUGUUAUCAGACUCAGAAACUAUAUGGGCAUCUGCCCUGCCACCCAGCACUUCUACACUAUGGGGCAAACUCAUAGCCCUAACAGAAGCCUUAAAAAUGGAAAAAGGCAAAAGACUCAACAUUUAUACAGCUAGCAGAAAUGCCUUUGCUACAGCCCAUGUCCCUGAGGCCAUUUAUCAGGAGAGAGGACUCAUGACAGCUGAAGGAAAGACUAUUAAAAACAAACAGGAAGCCAGGCAUGGUGGCACACACCUUUAAUCCCAGCACUUGGGAGGCAGAGGCAGGCAGAUUUCUGAGUUCAAGGCCAGCCUGGUCUACAAAGUGAGUUAAAGGACAGCCAGGACUAUACAGAGAAACCCUGUCUUGAAAAACAAAACAAAACAACAACAACAACAACAACAACAAAACAGGAGAUCCUAAACCUUUUGGAGGCCUUUUGGCUUCCAAAGAAACUGGCUAUUAUACACUACCCACAGCACCAAAAGGCAAUGAUGCCUGAAGCAAAAGGCAGUCAAUGGGGCAGAUUCGGCAGCCAAGGCAGCAGCUCUCAAUCCUGUGGCAACUUUGACUUUCCAACUGCCUGACCCAGGAGCUCCAAUCCUACCAGAUGAGCCUGAAUACUCCAAAGAGGAUGUUCUCUCUAUUCACAAACUGCCUAUGGCCCAUAAGCCUGAUGGCUGGUGGCUCACCGGGGGCUGCAAAAUAAUCCUGCCCAGCAAUUUGGCAGCCAGUCUACUCUAGCAUAUACACUGGACAACCCACUUGGGGACCAAGAAAACUGAGGAUCUGGUAGGAAAGGCAGACCUAAUAAUCCUCAACCUCAGGUCCCAGAUCAGACAGAUAGCCUCCAAAUGCUUUAGCUGUAAGCUCACUAAUGCAGAGAAUCAACCAAAGGAUAAAGGAUGCCAAACCGGGUGCUCACUGGGAAAUGGACUUUACUGAGAGAUAAGACCAGGGAAACAUGGUUACAGGUACCUACAGGUCAUGCUUGUAGACACCUUUUCAGGAUGGACUGAAGCCUACCCCACCAGGCAUGAAACAGCACAAAUAGUGAUCAAGAAGAUACCAGAGGAGGUGUUUCCCAGGUAUGGAAUGUCAGCCCUCCCAAGCUCUGACAAGGGACCUGUCUUCUUCACUAAGGUAACAUAGGGGAUGGCUAAAGCCAUUGGAGUGGAUUGGAAACUACAUUGUGCUUAUAGGCGCCCAAGCUCAGGACAGGUAGAGAGGACGAAUAGAACUUUAAAAGAGACCCUUACUAAAUUAAACUUGGAGACUGGUGGAAACUGGAUGGCUCUCCUCCCCUUCGCCCUCUAUAGGGUUCACCACAUACUCUAUACGUUGGAUUUAACCCCUUAUGAAAUCAUGUUUAGAAGACACACACACCCACACACACAUACUUUACCUAACCUAAAAUCUGAAGUGUUAGCUGAAAAUGAUGAUUGCCACUUACUUGACUCUCUUGAACAUCUAGCCUACACCCAAAAGGAGCUCUGGCCUCACCUGAAGGCUGUUUUUGAGGCUGCACCACCUCAUCCUCCCCACUGCUAUUGCUCUGGAGGCUGGGUCUUCCUGUCAAGGCACCAGAAGGGAACCCUAGAACCCUGCUGGGAAGGACCCUAUGUCGUGGUCCUAAGAACAUCCACUGUCCUCAGGAUUGAUGACAUUGCUACCUGAAUACAUCACACAUACCCACAUCUUGCAGACCCACAUCCAAACCCAGUCUACGUCUCCCCAAGGUGACAUGUUGCCUGAGACCAAGAGACUCCAUAAAAACUCAAGCUCCAGUGCUCCUAAGCUUAUUGGCAUGGGCUUCUUGCUUCCAGGAGUUGCCAGCUCUCUCACGGGUUCUAGCCCUCAGCUGCUCUGGAACCUAACCUGGGCUCUGAGAGAUGCAGUCACCAGUGGCAUUUCCCACCAGCAGAGCAUGACUGUGUCCCUUGGCACCUGUUUCGCCGACCUCCACUUCGACCCAACUCACCCACUUGGACUGUCCUGGGCUGAUGGAUUCCUCAGCACAUUUCACCUCUAUGUUUACCCCAGUGCAAAAAAUGGCAACAAGACCCAGCGGUGAUGAUGUGGGGGAGCUGAAUCCUUCUUCUGCUCCUCCUGGGAUUUCGUGAGUAUGGGACACAUUUGGUGGGAUCCCUCUAUCAAGGUGGACUUCAUUUGAGAAUGCUGAAAGACUGAUGACUAAAUCAGCUCUAUGGGCGUUUGGUUCCCUUGCCACCAAACUACGGACACUGGGUGGUGCACCUCCAUCCUCACUAUGUUUAUGGACUUGGGGAAAAAAGGCUAAUGGAUGGGAAUUAAAAAAAAAAAAAAA